CCCUUAGAUGUUCUGGGCCGCACGCGCGCUACACUGAUGCAUUCAACGAGUCUAAAACCUGCUCUGAUAGGGGUGGGUAAUCUUUUGAAUGUGCAUCGUGAUUGGGAUAGAUGAUUGCAAUUUUUCAUCUUCAACGAGGAAUGCCUAGUAAACACAAGUCAUCAGCUUGCAUUGAUUACGUCCCUGCCCUUUGUACACACCGCCCGUCGCUCCUACCGAUUGAAUGAUCCGAUGAAUAUCAUGGAUUGAGGAUGCAAGCAGGUUCGCCUGUCUUCAUCUUCGAGAAGUGAAGUAAAUCUUAUCAUUUAGAGGAAGGAGAAGUCGUAACA
rnacentral:rRNA from 1 species